rfam:Gossypium raimondii Chr12_contig_854, whole genome shotgun sequence.
UGUUAAAAAUUUCAUUUAUUUGUACUGUUAAAAAUUAGCGUGCUUGAUGUGCAUAGACCAAUUUUUAACUGUAAAAAUAGAUGAAUUUUUUAAUA